GUGGAGGGCCGGAGAGGGGCUCCCCGGUGGGGUGGAGCGGUGGUCAGCCAUCUCCAUCCCCCUCCGGCCGGCACACGGAACCGGUUCCAAAGAUCCAAUCUGGAAGAUCGCCUUUCCCAGCUCCAAUCCGAGGCCGCUGCCAAACCCACGGCAGGCAGAGCGCGGAUGAAAGGGGAAGCCCACUCCAUCUGCUGAGAUCCGUUUUCAUCUCAUCAAACACCCCGGCGUAAUUAUUUCUCUGCCCGGUAUUCAAAUGAGGAUGUAAAUGAACGCCGAGGCAAGGCAACUGAGGCCCAGAGAAAUGACCUGGUUCUUUCCAGCUGAAUUUUAAAAGGAGAUCACUGCUUUUCAAAAUCUACCCCCUUCACCUGUACCUGAUCCCAUUCUCUCACACCUUUUAAAAAUACUUAAUAAAAAUUAGGGCCUUCGCUAAACGCUUCC